AUUUGACAACUCAACAAAAGUGGGCGAUCGUAUCAAAUUAUAUAAGUCAAUGCGCCACGGCUGGCGGACGUGAGAACCAGGAUAUCCCUUUAAAUUUGAUCAAAUCACUAAACACGUCAGGUUUCUUUACAGAUGUCUCUAUAGCAACCGCUCGCGUGACCCUAUAGACCCGUGCGGUCAAGUGAGUCGAAAUUAUGACCAAUUAGCGCUUUCGUAACGAGUUAAGACAUGUGGCACACAUACAGGAAAUGACAUCAACGGGUCAAAACUAAAAAUAUGUCGCCUGAUGGACAGCCCGGGACACCCCGAACCUGGAUCUACGCAGGAUUCCUCAAAGCCGGUUUAUACACUUUUACCCUAAUAUGGUGGAUGAUGUGAUGAGAAUCUGAUCUGCAAUGGGAAUCGAACGUCACUUUCAUCCCGAGCAAGUUCAACGCAGACGACACACCUUUGUCCUGACGCCGUGGGCUCAUGGUUUCUGUGGAUGGGAAUACGUGGGACUGAUGGACUAAUGGAUUUAAAGAGUUAAUACGGGAGCCCAGCUCUUUCAUGCCCAUCUGUCAUGAGGUAGGCAUUCCAGUUUGGCUGCUGACCGCUGGCCCCACUGAGCUGGGGGGUCAGCACACCUCCGACGUUACUUCGCCUUGUGCUUCAUCCUCUACCACACCGGGGGCACCUGGCACCCCUCUAUGGCAGACCAGAUCAAUGGUAAGAACAAUUCGAGCAGAAUGACCAGAGGUCGGCAUCAAAGGCCCCCUGCUUGUCUCCCUGCCACCUGGAGCUCAGCGAGGGUCACGGGCCGCCCGGGCCACCACAGUCUCCUCUCCUCUUCAGCUGGCUGGGUAGCUGAGUGAGACCCAGGCAGGCUGAGAGGCGGCUCAGUGUUGGCCCAGCAGCCCACAUGGGGAGUGGGCCAGAGGUCAAGCCCAUCAGAGCACUCUGCUUCGUCUGAUGAGAGGAUCUGGUCUGGUUUUAAUGAGGCAACACUUGAUUCCGCAUCUCUUCACACACGACGCGGAAGGAGCAUCUCAACCAUUUCGAGGUAUAUUUAUUAUAAACGUGCAUUUUAUGAGUUUAAUUGUGCAAGUCAUUUACGUUUUAGUGUUUAUUUAAAAUUAUUAUAUUUCUGUACAUCUACAAAUGUUUCAUUUCAGUAGACAGUAGAUGGUAAAUUGUCGCUAAGCAUAUAUUUAUUCAUACAACAUUUCCAAUAUGAGCACUAUGGCUCUCUUCACCAAAAUGCUGGUCAUAUGGUGAAAGAACAGGCAAUUAUUUUCAUGCAGCUGUCAAUACUCUGAACAGGCUAAUGCCGUCUAAUUAAAUGCAAUUUCUCGGGCCACUAAUGAAAAUGAACAACUCUGAGGGGUUUUUAAUAUCGCUGCGAAGCUUUUCAACUUCCGCAGUCGAUGAAUCGAUGCUUCUGUGUCCCUUUACUUCUGCGAUGAGGGACGAAAGGGGCUGCGAUGAGAAAGACAUACACAGACAGAGAGAAAAAAGGCAAGUUUGGCAAGUAGAAGAGUGAAGGGGGAGACAGAUGGCGUGAAGUCUGCAUCUCUUUGGCGUUGGACGCAUGGCGCUAAAAUCCUCCCUCUCACACAUUCCAACAAAUCCAACCAGGAGGCUCAGGAGUAUGUUCCACUGCUCUCGAAAUGAAGCAUCUGACCAGGAUAGAGCCACACGCUCUUUCUCACUGUCUUUCACACACACACAUGCAUGUUCGCGCACAUACAUUCACACACUGUCAGCCACCCGUAACCUAUCCAGAAGUUUACAUUUUUAUUAGUAUGUCACCCAUUGCGGAGUUUAUUGGCUUGUUAAAGUAGGAAGCUUUGAGAGCUUGGGAGAGGGAACAUGGGGCCAUGACUGGAAAUAUUGCAGCAGAGAAAAAGAGACCAAGUGCCAUUCAAGUGUAAAAUCUCAUUGAGUAAACAUGGGGCCAAGGCAUGGAAACAAAGUGUGUACAAUCCAUUUGCGGAAGAAAAAAUAAGGAGCUUUGCGGUUCGUCACACUAGCCUCGUUGCGUUGCUUGCCAGAUAGUCUCCGCCGUUCAAGUUGUACAUGAUCUUUUUAAUUAGCUUCUCGAAAGUACAUUUGAGUACAUCUAGUUGAAACAAACAUUGGCAUAUUCUGCAAUGAUCUAUAUGAAUGGCUCUGUUUAGUGCCUCGCAAAGCUUUAUUUUAACCUAUAACUAUAUUUUAUUUGUCAUUUAGCAGAAAUGUACCGCUAAUAGCUGUCGACAUAUAAAACGACCAUGUGUUCCUCCUGUCAGCCAGAUGCAAAAGGCACAGAUGGGAUUUUUUCCAAAUGGAGCUCUUGAUAGCAGACAAUUAAUGUGGCUUUGAUUGCGCUCUACAGUACUCUCCCAUUGAUUCUGGAAAAUGUAUUCAUCGAAGGCAUAUGAUCAGCCUCGGAUGAAUCUUGUCAGAUGUGCCAAAUCACAAAUUAAACGCUUUAGUGCCUCUCCCUCCAACCUCCAGGGCUGAGAGCUCCUGCAUGACACUCUUUCUUCCUCCCUCUCUCUCUCUCUCUCUCUCUCUCUCUCUCUCUCUCUCUCUGGCUCUUUCUCUAUCUCUCUCGCUCACUCUCUAGAUGGAUGGCUGAGUUCUGCCUUCUGUUUGCACUGCCAUACUAAUGAAUGAGUCAGCUGGGAAUAUGUAAUACUGUGAAAAGGUCACCGGAGGCAUGUGUAUCACAUUACUGUUAAUGAUAAUAAAAAGAACAAU